AUUGAACGCUGGCGGCACGCCUAACACAUGCAAGUCGAGCGGUCCUUCGGGAUAGUGGCGGACGGGUGAGUAACACGUGGGAACGUACCCUUAGGUUCGGAACAACACAGGGAAACUUGUGCUAAUACCGGAUGAGCCCUUCGGGGGAAAGAUUUAUCGCCUUUGGAGCGGCCCGCGUCUGAUUAGCUUGUUGGUGAGGUAAUGGCUCACCAAGGCUACGAUCAGUAGCUGGUCUGAGAGGAUGGCCAGCCACACUGGGACUGAGACACGGCCCAGACUCCUACGGGAGGCAGCAGUGGGGAAUCUUGCGCAAUGGGCGAAAGCCUGACGCAGCCAUGCCGCGUGGAUGAUGAAGGUCUUAGGAUUGUAAAAUCCUUUCACCGGGGACGAUAAUGACGGUACCCGGAGAAGAAGCCCCGGCUAACUUCGUGCCAGCCGCCGCCGUAAUAC
rnacentral:rRNA from 1 species